rnacentral:rRNA from 1 species
AAUUCUAGAGCUAAUACAUGCUAAAAACCUCGACUUCGGAAGGGGUGUAUUUAUUAGAUAAAAAACCAAUGCCCUUCGGGGCUCCUUGGUGAUUCAUAAUAACUUAACGAAUCGCAUGGCCUUGUGCCGGCGAUGGUUCAUUCAAAUUUCUGCCCUAUCAACUUUCGAUGGUAGGAUAGUGGCCUACCAUGGUUUCAACGGGUAACGGGGAAUUAGGGUUCUAUUCCGGAGAGGGAGCCUGAGAAACGGCUACCACAUCCAAGGAAGGCAGCAGGCGCGCAAAUUACCCAAUCCCGACACGGGGAGGUAGUGACAAUAAAUACUGAUACAGGGCUCUUUUGGGUCUUGUAAUUGGAAUGAGUACAAUUUAAAUCCCUUAACGAGGAACAAUUGGAGGGCAAGUCUGGUGCCAGCAGCCAG